GGGCCCGCACAAGCGGUGGAGCAUGUGGUUUAAUUCGAUGCAACGCGAAGAACCUUACCAGGGUUUGACAUCCUGCGAAUCUCUUGGAAACGAGAGAGUGCCUUCGGGAACGCAGUGACAGGUGGUGCAUGGCUGUCGUCAGCUCGUGUCGUGAGAUGUUGGGUUAAGUCCCGCAACGAGCGCAACCCACGUCGUUAGUUGCCAGCAUUUAGUUGGGCACUCUAGCGAGACCGCCGGUGAUAAACCGGAGGAAGGUGUGGAUGACGUCAAGUCAUCAUGCCCCUUACAUCCUGGGCUACACACGUACUACAAUGCUACGGACAAAGGGCAGCAAACUCGCGAGAGCUAGCAAAUCCCAUAAACCGUGGCUCAGUUCAGAUCGGAGUCCGCAACUCGACUCCGUG
rnacentral:rRNA from 1 species